AUCGUUGCCGCCGUUUUUAAUUAUUUUGGGGUCCCCUGUUUCCCUUCCUGGAGGCACGGAUUUUGCGAAAUCCCUCCGCCCCACUAGCCAUGGAACCAGGCCGGACCAGCCCUUAAACCGUUGACAACUGGAGAGAACACUGUGGAGCAUAGCAUUGCUUGGUGACUCAACAGCUCAAGACAACUACCCAAGAUAUGCUAAUCCAAUCCUUUCAGUCUAGAAGUAUGUUCUGCCAACCUGAAUCCUCCUGAGAAUUUGCCCGUAUGCUUUUCCUGGACUCCCUGUAAACCACUAAGCAGACAGCAUUUAUCUGAGCAGAAAUAAAGCAAUAUGAAUAGAUCAGGUAGUCUUCUGGAAAACAAAACAAGUAUCUGGUAAAUUGAUUUAACAAUCUUUAUCAGGAGAAUUCAAACCACUUUUGACUUGGAAUACAGUCUCCUUGAAUGCAGCUGAAUGUAAGCACACACACUACACUGAAUGUUGUCCCUGCUCACCUUCUCCAGACAGCAACAACUAGUUCAGAGCAGCAUGAGGAUGUACAACACAUCCCCUCAUGCUGCUUUGUGUUGCUUUCCUUUCUGUCAUCUGCACCACAAGGAAAGUCACUAACAGCAAUAGCAAGAGGCAGAAGAAGAGUAUUCAUCUGGUAAGUGGAAACGUCAACUGGACCAAGUAAAGUUCACUGAUUUGGGGAUCAGAUGAUAUUUCACCUUAGCAAAGGAAAGCCUACAGUACCAACAUCUCCUUAAAGUAUUUCACAGAUUAGAGAGGAAGUCUUCAUUAUCAAUUCUGGAAUUGUUUUCAAGCAAAAGUUUUAGAUGACAGUGGAUUAUAAAGCAUAAGCAGAUGUAAUGAAGAACUACAAGAUACUAUUCUCAUUUAUCUAGUUUCUGUUACCAAAUAUUUAUAGCAGCAGCAUCAUAAGGAAAAUAAAGGGGAACAUUUACAUCUAAAAUAAAAGGUCUUGAGAGUAACAUACACUAUCAGUUCUUAUUUUAUAGUUUCUAAGAACUGUAAAGUGGAUCCUGCCUCAAGACAUGAAGGGAUAAACUGACAGCUACAAAAUCCUGCAGAGACAAAGCUUGAAAAGAAAGAUGUAUUCUCUGUCUUCCACCUUGUCAGAAAGUCACUAUUUUACUCUUUACUUCCUAUAGUUCAACAUCCAAACCUGAGCAUUCUCAUCCUUAGUCCCUGAUUAUGUUAGGCAGAUUUCAAAUGACUGAAAUAUCUGCCAGUACUAAUGAGUACAUUAAAGAUUUUAGUAACUGUGGUAGAGAUUUAUUUCACCUAGCUUUAGAUUAUAGUCAUCAGAAGAAAGUAAGCAUUUCUUGGGCACAACUCACCCAUCUAUUUUGUUCCAUGCUCACUGCUUCCCACUGACUCAGCAUAUAUGUAGGCAACUCUGCUGUAGAUAAUAACAGCAAAAAAAACAUAGCUUGUAAACCACAGAUAUAAAGUUAGGUGUUUAAAGAUAUAUUUUGAUAGUUAAUUGCAUUGCUUAAUUUUCUAAACUGCCCAAACCUGUCAAAUCUUUCUCACUGCAGCAAUUGCAAAGAUGACUUUAGUCUGAUUUGGCUAACAGUUUUUGCUGUUGCAUAUUGAUUAUCUCAAAUAAUCGUACUUUAAAAUCAUAUAUUUUUUUAUUCUGAUGUCAGUUUCAUUUGGUAUCCACUCCAGUACAACCUAAUUGAAUCUCAAAAGCCAACUCUGGUGUUUCACAUGCUCAACACUAAUAUUUAUGUAUAGAGUGUCAUCUUAAGAACUCGUUCAGUUAUUUCUGCAAAAAUAUACCGUUGCUAUUAGAAUGAAGAGGAUGAAUUUCAAUAUGUAACAGGUUAAAUUCAUUUUUUUAGGAACAACUUUAGCAUUUUGCUCUAUUUAAGAAGAAAAAAGGAAUAUAUGAGAAUUAAGAAAAAAAAGAAGGUGCCUUUUAUUAACAUUUCUAGAUUACAUUCAGCAGUUAUAAUCUUCUGAAUGAAUACGAAUUCAAAAACAUUCAUUUGCUUGCACCUAAGACACUUGGAACUACACAAUGUGGAAAAAAAGCAGGUACAAAAUCCCUUGCCAAUGGAAAUAACCAAUACAUUUGGUCAUAAACUAGGAUUUUCUUAGUGAAUUAACACGGUGCACUGUAAGAUUACUAAACUUGGCAGAAAAAAAUCUUAAGUCCUUUGAAAUCUUUGAGGCUACACAAUAGCUCAAAGAUGAACUCAGUCAAGUAUUAGAUACAUUUAAUAAUAUUUUGAAAAUCAUUUAGAGUGAUAUUAAAAUUAAAAUAAUUGUAUACAAAACACUGUACACACAUGGUUUAGAAGUUAUGACAGAUGAAAUAAAUUGCAGAAACACAGGAGAUAAUAGUAGCUCAUACUAGAAAGUAUAAUGUUUGGCAAAUUUUGAAGCUAGCAAAACUGUCUAUAUGGAGAUGCAUCUCACAAUGCCUUCUGGAAAUAGCUUUGUUUGGAUCUUGAAGAUUUUUUUUUUUUUUUGGAGAUGCACAUGCAGAAGUUCUACUCAAAGUUAUUGUUGUAUGCAUAUCCCUUUAUUGAAUUUAGGGUAUCAAUUUAACCCUUGAACUUUAAAGUUCUUACCUUUGGAGUUGCUCUUACAGACAAGUCAUAAAAAAAACCUAGCUACUUGCAACUUACAGUAAGUUACAAAGCUUCCUGCAAACCACAUGCCUUUAUACCUAAAAAAUGAGGCCUGCUGAGCAGAACGAACUGAUCAAUCAGGUACAACAUAAACAGAGGUUCUUGUGCUGCAAAAUAUAGAAAUAUGGAAAAGUGGUAAACUUCCUAGUUGCUUUUGGAACCCCUUGUGAAAGCACUCCCUGCUAACAUGCAUAUUUUUCAAAAUCUACAUGUAAGUAGAUCUACAUGAUAUCUACAUGAUAGAUGUCAAUUUCUCCCAGGCAAAAUAGCUUUUUUUAAGUGAAGUUUUUAUUUUGAGGAAUGCAGAGUGGUUAAGAACCAUCAUAAUUCUAUGAUUCCAUGAACCAAUAUAGUGAAACGUAGGAGUAAGCACAAAAAAUCUGAAAUUCACAAAUAGCUACGCAAGUAAAAAGACAGAAGUCCAUUCUUUUUCACACUUCCUAAAGAGUAGGUGCUUAUUGUUAGCUAGACUGCUGUAGAUUUAUUUUUAUUUGAAAUAUUGUUCAUUAUCAGUUUAUCAAAAAUGCAAAUCAUUCUAUGGAAAAAUUAAUGUGUAUAUUUACAUCAAUCAAUUUAAAAACUCAAUUUGUGGAGUCAAUAAUUGCUCUCUAUGUCCCUAGAAGAUGCAAUUAUUUUUAUAAAUUAUAGUUAAAGAUAAAAAAAAUAAAGAUUUAUAAAAAAAAGUAGGAUGUUGAUCUUCUAAAAAAAGUGUAUUUUGAAAAGAUUUAAACAGUGUGCAGUUGAAUUUUUCAAGAUGCUGUGGACAGGAAAUAUCUGCCUUGUUCUUUAACUUAUUAUUUCUUAAAGGAGCAAAUCUUAUUUUACAUAAGCUGCAAAAUUAAUAAUGGAACCAGACAUUUAAAACAAGUCAUAAUCAUAAUUAAUCAUGCUGCAGUAGAUGAAUUAAAUUAUUUCUGUAUACAUGAAAGAUUCUAAGUAGGCAACAGCUUGCUUUAUUACUUCAUAUUAUCCAAAACAAAUUGUUUUCCAUAUUUUAUGGACUUCUUCAUAUAACUGAAAGAAUACUAAAUACUACCUCAACAUCUUAUAUUGAAUUGACCAAAAUUUCAUUUUCCUUCUUUGUCAAAUGCACGGCUUAUCAUUCUCCUUGGGAUUUUAUUCCACAAGACAGACACCCUUGCAUUCAAAAACAUAUGUCCAAUAUCUAACUAUGAAAAUAAUUAAUCCAUCCUUUUGGGGAAACAGAACUCUAGUUGUUGAGAAACGGGAUAAUAGAAGGUGCUCAAGCACAGAUCCUGGGCUAAUGCUAAAGCAAAAUGCAGAAUGAAAGACCCAGGAAGAUUUCACAGAAUCACAGAAUGGCUUAUGCUGGAGAAGAUCCUAAUGUGUGCAAGAGCACACUGCUCACAUCCACCUUUUCAUCCACUAGGUCCUUCUCACCCAGGUCCACACCCAUCCACACCCAGGUCCCCCUCAGUUCUCAGUAAGGUCCUUGGAAAGUUUUUUUGCUUUUGCUUUCACUUUGCAUUUUGGAAGUAGGAAUGGUACAGACUUCUUUAUUAUUGGUUACAAGUAGUUGACACAGGUCAUAAAGGCUGUAAUGAUGUUUAUAUUUUGACCUUUCACUGGAGGAACCUCCAUCUCCAAUUAAGUGUGUUUCUGGGAUACAUUACUUAAAAUUGACUUCAAUGUGAAGAGGGAAAAACAAAGAAACAAGAAAAUUACCUCUUUCUGUAUAACUUCUGCAUUCUUAGAGAAGGAAGAGAAGUACUGCGUUUAUUCACACCCCCAUACUGAAAGGGGGACAGAACUGUAAGCAGCAAUAUCUGCACUAUUUACCCACUCUUAUAAGCAAAGGAAGAUUGUGUCCCAUGUGUACAGUCAUCCACUCUAAUUCUAACCUCUUCCUAGAGCUUCAAGUAAGGUAGCACUUAUACACAAUACCACUGAGAUUUUGCAAUUUUGUCAUCUAAUGGUCUCACCUUAGAAACAUAUACUUGAAAAGGGUUUGUAACAGAGAGAACUGUAACCUUUUCUUACUCUAUUUUUUUUUUUCCAAUUAAUACUUUCCUCUUAUUCACAGCAAGCUCCAUAUUAUUUUUAGCACCACAGUUUUUCAUGAACAUCUUGUACUUCUAGCACUACAGUUUUCAAAACCGAAGCUAAAACCAAUAAAUACAGCUUUUGGUUCAUCCUUUUUGAUUCUAGCCUUCUAAUCGUGCAGCAGCAAGAUAGAGCACAGCAAGCAACAUCCAUUUACAAAACCAGAGAAUAACUGCAUUGAUUGACUAGUAAAAAACCCUGCUAGUAUGGACUAAGUCAAUCCCCCAUAGGAAAAACUUAUGAAGAGAGAUCCAGAAAUAUCAUAAAUUUACAACCUAGUUUGAAAUGAUGGAAUUUAUAAUAGACUUCCACUUAUUUAGUGAAAUAACUUUUUAAGAAAAAUGCUUAAAUUGAUUGCUUUUCCAUUACUCAAACAUCAACUGUGAAAACAAAUUCACCCUUUUUAAACUACAAUACUAUGUAGGCUGAAAAUAAUCAGGCAGAUUACAGUUUGUAUUAAGCUAAUAGUAUGAGCAUGUAGCUUGGAUUUCUGUACUUACUUAGACCAAUAAGUAUUGUAUUAAAUGAUGUAUGAAUCUGAAAA